rnacentral:rRNA from 1 species
CGGAGGGUGCAAGCGUUGUCCGGAUUUAUUGGGUUUAAAGGGUGCGUAGGUGGCUCUAUAAGUCAGUGGUGAAAGUCUGCAGCUUAACUGUAGAACUGCCAUUGAUACUGUGGAGCUUGAGUACUGAUGAGGUAGGCGGAAUUGAUAGUGUAGCGGUGAAAUGCAUAGAUAUUAUCAAGAACACCGAUUGCGAAGGCAGCUUACUAAGGAGUUACUGACACUGAGGCACGAAAGCGUGGGGAUCAAACAGGAUUAGAUACCCUGGUAGUCCACGCCAUAAACGAUGAUUACUCGAUGUAUGCGAUAGACAGUAUGCGUCCAAGCGAAAGCGUUAAGUAAUCCACCUGGGGAGUACGACCGCAAGGUUG